rnacentral:misc_RNA from 1 species
GGACUACCGGGGUUUCUAAUCCUGUUUGAUCCCCGCACUUUCGGGUCUCAGUGUCAGUGUCGAGCCAGUUAACCGCCUUCGCCUCCGGUGUUCCACCUGAUAUCUACGUAUUUCACCACUACACCAGGUAUUCUAUUAACCUCUCUCGCACUCAAGCUCAGCAGUAUCAAAUGCACUUCCUGGGUUAAGCCCAGGGCUUUCACAUCUGACUUACCAAGCCACCUACACCCGCUUUACGCCCAAUAAUUCCGAGCAACGCUAGGAUCCCUCGUCUUACCGCGGCUGCUGGCAC